CUUGGGUCCGGCAUAACCCCGGGAAACUGGGGAUAAUUCCGGAUAACGCAUAUAUGCUGGAAUGCUUUAUGCGUCAAAUGGAUUCGUCUGCCCAAGGAUGGGUCUGCGGCCUAUCAGGUAGUAGUGGGUGUAAUGUACCUACUAGCCGACGACGGGUACGGGUUGUGAGAGCAAGAGCCCGGAGAUGGAUUCUGAGACAUGAAUCCAGGCCCUACGGGGCGCAGCAGGCGCGAAAACUUUACAAUGCGGGAAACCGUGAUAAGGGGACACCGAGUGCCAGCAUCAUAUGCUGGCUGUCCGGGUGUGUAAAAUACACCCGUUAGCAAGGGCCGGGCAAGACCGGUGCCAGCCGCCGCGGUAACACCGGCGGCCCGAGUGGUGAUCGUGAUUAUUGGGUCUAAAGGGUCCGUAGCCGGUUUGGUCAGUCCUCCGGGAAAUCUGACGGCUUAACCGUUAGGCUUUCGGAGGAUACUGCCAGGCUUGGAACCGGGAGAGGUAAGAGGUACUACAGGGGUAGGAGUGAAAUCUUGUAAUCCCUGUGGGACCACCUGUGGCGAAGG
rnacentral:rRNA from 1 species